rnacentral:rRNA from 1 species
UACGUAGGUGGCAAGCGUUGUCCGGAUUUACUGGGCGUAAAGAGCGCGCAGGCGGUCGAUCAAGUCGCGUGUGAAAGCCCCCGGCUCAACUGGGGAGGGUCGUGCGAUACGGGCGAACUGGAGGCCAGUAGGGGGAUGCGGAAUUCCGGGUGUAGUGGUGGAAUGCGUAGAGAUCCGGAGGAACACCAGCGGCGAAGGCGGCAUCCUGGACUGGUCCUGACACUCAGGAGCGAAAGCGUGGGGAGCGAUCCGG